ACUCAACCAGAAAACGGUCAGGGUAACCGCAAGGAGCCCUCCGUUGAAGGUGGGGUUGGUGACUGGGGUGAAGUCGUAACAAGGUAGCCGUAGGUGAACCUGCAGAAGGAUCA
rnacentral:rRNA from 1 species